rnacentral:rRNA from 1 species
GCUAUACAUGCAAGUCGAACGGGGAUUUCUUUGUAUUCGUACGAGGAAAAUCCUAUUGGCGAACGGGUGAGUAACGCGUUGGUGACCUGCCCCGAAGAGGGGGAUAACAGCUCGAAAGGGCUGCUAAUACCCCAUGUGAUCACAGAGGUUAGAGGCUCUGUGCUUAAAGGUACUGUCUUCGGACACUCCACUUCGGGAGGGGCCUGCGUCCCAUCAGCUAGUUGGUAGGGUAACGGCCUACCAAGGCUACGACGGGUAGGGGACCUGAGAGGGUGACCCCCCACACUGGCACUGAAACACGGGCCAGACAUCUACGGAUGGCAGCAGUAGGGAAUAUUGCACAAUGGGCGAAAGCCUGAUGCAGCAACGCCGCGUGCACGAUGAAGACCUUCGGGUUGUAAAGUGCUUUUCGGGGGGAUGAGAAAGGACAGUACCCCCGGAAUAAGGAUCGGCUAACUACGUGCCAGCAGCCGCGGUAACACGUGGGAUCCAAGCGUUAUCCGGAUUUACUGGGCGUAAAGCGCGUGCAGGCGGUUCGGUUAGUUGGAUGUGAAUGCUCCCGGCUCAACUGGGAGAGGCCGUUCAAUACUGCCGGACUAGAGGGCGAUAGAGGGAGGUGGAAUUCCCGGUGUAGUGGUGAAAUGCGUAGAUAUCGGGAGGAACACCAGAGGCGAAAGCGGCCUCCUGGAUCGACCCUGACGCUAAGACGCGAAAGCUAGGGUAGCGAACGGGAUUAGACACCCCGGUAGUCCUAGCUGUAAACGAUGUGAACUUGGUGUUGGUGGCGUAAGAACCAUCAGUGCCGUAGCUAACGCGAUAAGUUCACGCCUGGGGACUACGACCGCCAGGGUUAAAACUCAAAGGAAUUGACGGGACCC